rnacentral:tRNA from 1 species
GCCUGGGUGGCUCAGUCAGUUGAGCGUCUGACUUCAGCUCAGGUCAUGAUCUCACAGUUCGUGGGUUCAAGCCCCACGUCGGGCU